UACGUAGGUCCCGAGCGUUGUCCGGAUUUAUUGGGCGUAAAGCGAGCGCAGGUGGUUUAUUAAGUCUGGUGUAAAAGGCAGUGGCUCAACCAUUGUAUGCAUUGGAAACUGGUAGACUUGAGUGCAGGAGAGGAGAGUGGAAUUCCAUGUGUAGCGGUGAAAUGCGUAGAUAUAUGGAGGAACACCGGUGGCGAAAGCGGCUCUCUGGUCUGUAACUGACACUGAGGCUUGAAAGCGUGGGGAGCAAACAGG
rnacentral:rRNA from 1 species